AGCACUGGACUACAGCAAGCGGGGGAGAAGGAAGUUCAGCACCCAGGUGGAGACUGCGAUUAGGCCCCCAAGGCGCUUAGAGCAGACAGAGGGAGAGAGGCUCCUUUUAGGAGCGGGUUUGGCGGGCGCCACCCCAAGCGGCCAAGGGCGGAGCCUCUUUUAGGCGACUGCUCCCGCGAGGUCAGAGCCGGGCUGUGCCGCUGCCCCCGGGACUAGAAAGGGAAAUCUCCUUGCUAGAGGAGGAAGCCCUAAGAACUCAAGGGAGAUAGGGGUGGCAGGGGCAUUUCCCUGGAUGCCUGGAGCAUGGAGGGUGCGAAAUAAGGAGGCUUUCCUACCCCAUUGAUGAGCUGAAGUUGAUUCCGCACGGGGGAGGAAAGGGACAGGAAGCAUAAUUGGAUGUGCAAGCCUGUGGUUCUUCAGGAAGUUAACACGUGGAACUAACACUGUUGGAUGCUGCUGAACUCUCAGAAAAAUCAUCAUUGACAUCCAACACCAGCACUGGAAUGUUCAUCAGAGCCUCAAAGUGGAGCCUAUAAGAAGCGUGAACGUUUGGGGGACAGAAAAAAAGAAAUGUAACUUGAGUCAAGUUUCACAUACUCGCCAAGUCUUACUCAGAGAACAGAUCUAAAUUCAACAUGACUUUUCAAAGAAACUGCAUGUAAACUGCAUUUAAAAAAACAAAUUCAAUAAAGUUGGCCGGAAACAGAAAG
rnacentral:lncRNA from 1 species